UGCCGGGAGGGGUCCAUUG
rnacentral:rRNA from 1 species